AGCGAACGCUGGCGGCAGGCCUAACACAUGCAAGUCGAACGGAUCCUUCGGGAUUAGUGGCGGACGGGUGAGGAACACGUGGGAACGUGCCUUUUGGUUCGGAACAACUCAGGGAAACUUGAGCUAAUACCGGAUGUGCCCUUCGGGGGAAGAUUUAUCGCCAUUAGAGCGGCCCGCGUCUGAUUAGCUAGUUGGUGGGGUAAAGGCUCACCAAGGCUACGAUCAGUAGCUGGUCUGAGAGGAUGAUCAGCCACACUGGGACUGAGACACGGCCCAGACUCCUACGGGAGGCAGCAGUGGGGAAUCUUGCGCAAUGGGCGAAAGCCUGACGCAGCCAUGCCGCGUGAAUGAUGAAGGUCUUAGGAUUGUAAAUUCUUUUACCCGGGAUGAUAAUGACAGUACCGGGAGAAUAAGCCCCGGCUAACUCCGUGCCAGCAGCCGCGGUAAU
rnacentral:rRNA from 1 species